ensembl:snRNA U1 U1 spliceosomal RNA
AUACUUACCUGGCAGGGGAGAUAACGGUGAUCACCAAGGUGGUUUUCCCAGGUUAAUCCUUUGCACUCCGUAUGUGCUGACUCCUGCAAUUUCCCCAAAUGUGGGAAGUUCGACUGCAUAAUUUGUGGUAGCAGGGGACUGUGUUCACGUUUUCCCCUG